GACGAACGCUGGCGGCGUGCUUAACACAUGCAAGUCGUACGGAAAGGCCCUGCUUUUGUGGGGUGCUCGAGUGGCGAACGGGUGAGUAACACGUGAGUAACCUGCCCUUGACUUUGGGAUAACUUCAGGAAACUGGGGCUAAUACCGGAUAGGAGCUCCUGCUGCAUGGUGGGGGUUGGAAAGUUUCGGCGGUUGGGGAUGGACUCGCGGCUUAUCAGCUUGUUGGUGGGGUAGUGGCUUACCAAGGCUUUGACGGGUAGCCGGCCUGAGAGGGUGACCGGCCACAUUGGGACUGAGAUACGGCCCAGACUCCUACGGGAGGCAGCAGUGGGGAAUAUUGCACAAUGGGCGGAAGCCUGAUGCAGCAACGCCGCGUGCGGGAUGACGGCCUUCGGGUUGUAAACCGCUUUCGCCUGUGACGAAGCGUGAGUGACGGUGAUGGGUAAAGAAGCACCGGCUAACUACGUG
rnacentral:rRNA from 1 species